rnacentral:rRNA from 1 species
ACGCGAAAGGGGGGCAACCCCCGAGUAGAGUGGCGAACGGGUGAGAAAUACAUCGGAACGUACCCAGUAGCGGGGGAUAACCUCUCGAAAGAGAGGCUAAUACCGCAUACGACCUACGGGUGAAAGAGGGGGAUCGCAAGACCUCUCACUAUUGGAGCGGCCGAUGUCGGAUUAGCUAGUUGGUGGGGUAAAAGCCUACCAAGGCGACGAUCCGUAGCUGGUCUGAGAGGACGGCCAGCCACACUGGAACUGAGACACGGUCCAGACUCCUACGGGAGGCAGCAGUGGGGAAUUUUGGACAAUGGGCGAAAGCCUGAUCCAGCCAUGCCGCGUGAGUGAAGAAGGCCUUCGGGUUGUAAAGCUCUUUCGGCUGGGACGAAAAGGUUCGUGCUAACACCACGGAUCCAUGACGGUACCAGCAGAAGAAGCACCGGCUAACUACGUGCCAGCAGCCGCGGUAAUACGUAGGGUGCAGGCGUUAAUCGGAAUUACUGGGCGUAAAGCGUGCGCAGGCGGUUUGCUAAGACAGGUGUGAAAUCCCCGGGCUUAACCUGGGAACUGCGCUUGUAACUGGCAAGCUAGAGUGUGGCAGAGGGGGGUGGAAUUCCACGUGUAGCAGUGAAAUGCGUAGAGAUGUGGAGGAACACCGAUGGCGAAGGCAGCCCCCUGGGCUAACACUGACGCUCAUGCACGAAAGCGUGGGGAGCAAACAGGAUUAGAUACCCUGGUAGUCCACGCCCUAAACUAUGUCAACUGGUUGUCGGGGAAGCAAUUCCUUGGUAACGAAGCUAACGCGUGAAGUUGACCGCC